rnacentral:rRNA from 1 species
GACGAACGCUGGCGGCGUGCCUAAUACAUGCAAGUCGAACGCAGUUGCGAAAGGGUGAGUAACGCGUAGGUAACUGCCUCAUAGCGGGGGCUAACUAUUGGAAACGAUAGCUAAUACAGCAUACUGUGAGAUGGACCUGCGUUGUAUUAGGUAGUUGGUGAGGUAAAGGCUCACCAAGGCGACGAUACAUAGCCGACCUGAGAGGGGGAUCGGCCAGACUGGGACUGAGACACGGCCCAGACUCCUACGGGAGGCAGCAGUAGGGAAUCGUUGGCAAUGGAAGGAAGUCUGACCGAGCAACGCCGGUGGAGUGAAGAAGGGUUUCGGAUCGUAAAGCUCUGUUGUUAGGGAAGCGGUAUCUAACCAGAAAGGGACGGCUAACGACGUGCCAGCAGCCGCGGUAAUUC